ACGGUGCAGGACAGAUGAAAUAACGGAUGAAUAUGUCCGGUAUUUUAAAAGAAUGCCCGUUAAAAUAACGGACAUUGGUCAACCGUUAUUUUAAGUUAUUUUAUCAUGACAUGACGGUAAUGAGAAAGAAGCCUUCCUGCAUCAAUCCCAACCGGAUCCAGAGACGAUGAAGUGUCCGCCAAGUGACAACAAUUUUGGCGCCAAAAGGGUCUGUUGCAUUAAACCCACAGAAACCGUUUCCAGCUCCUGUAUUUGCAGUGCUAGGAUUCUCAUGCACAGGACACAACAAAAAAGUUAGAGUUUUUCUGACCCCUUAAAAUCAAGAGAAACUGGCUGUAAAUGUAAGAGGUUAGAAUAAAAACAUCAAAUCUCCUUUUAGU